rnacentral:rRNA from 1 species
AUACGUAGGGAGCGAGCGUUGUCCGGAAUUACUGGGUGUAAAGGGAGCGUAGGCGGGAGUGCAAGUCAGAUGUGAAAUACAUGGGCUCGACCCAUGGGCUGCAUUUGAAACUGGAUUUCUUGAGUGAAGUAGAGGUAAGCGGAAUUCUGGGUGUAGCGGUGAAAUGCGUAGAUAUUAGGAGGAACACCAGUGGCGAAGGCGGCUUGCUGGACGACAACUGACGCUGAGGCGCGAAAGCGUGGGGAGCAAACAGGAUUAGAUACCCUGGUAGUCCACGCCCUAAACGAUGAAUACUAGGUGUGGGGGGACUGACCCCUUCCGUGCCGGAGUAAACACAAUAAGUAUUCCACCUGGGGAGUACGACCGCAAGGUUGAAACUCAAAUGAAUUGGCGGGG